rnacentral:rRNA from 1 species
UACAUGGGGGUGCAAACGUUGCUCGGAAUUAUUGGGCGUAAAGCGCACGUAGGCGGUUUGUUAAGUCGGAUGUGAAAUCCCUCGGCUCAACUGAGGAAGUGCAUCCGAAACUGGCAAGCUUGAGUACGAAAGAGGGUCGCGGAAUUCCCGGUGUAGAGGUGAAAUUCGUAGAUAUCGGGAGGAACAUCGGUGGCGAAGGCGGCGACCUGGGUCGAUACUGACGCUGAGGUGCGAAAGCGUGGGGAGCAAACAGG